rnacentral:lncRNA from 1 species
UUAAAGAUAAUAGAAUUCAUCGAUGUUGAGCCACUAAUUCACUUCCUUUAUCAGGGCUUUAAAAGCUGGUUAUUUUAGAAAUUGUUUGUAAAGUAGAUAGUGGCAAUAUCCAAAAUAAUAGGGUCUCUACUAAACUAUUAUACCAUUAUAGUUGAAAUAAUAGUUGUUAUCAUGGAAUACUGAACCACCUUGAACCGAGCGGUUCAAGACAUACUGAACUAUACCUGCAGCCUACUGAUGCAGUUUGGGCAUUCGAUUUGGAACUCCAGCAAAAACGAAGCGAGGGAGA